rnacentral:snRNA from 1 species
UUACUUAGAGAGCUGAGGGUAAUUCCGUGAUCAUGAAGGCGGAAUCCCCAUGGUGACGCCUCUCCAUUGCACUUUUGGAUUGAGAGCUGACCCGUGUGGCAGGUUUGACUUGCCAACAGCAUAAUUUUUGCGUAUCGGGGCUGCCGGGGGUGGCCCUGG